rnacentral:rRNA from 1 species
UACAGAGGGGGCAAGCGUUGUUCGGAAUUACUGGGCGUAAAGGGCGCGUAGGCGGCCUUCUAAGUCGAACGUGAAAUCCCCGGGCUCAACCCGGGAACUGCGUCCGAUACUGGAAGGCUUGAAUCCGGGAGAGGGAUGUGGAAUUCCAGGUGUAGCGGUGAAAUGCGUAGAUAUCUGGAGGAACACCGGUGGCGAAGGCGACAUCCUGGACCGGUAUUGACGCGUGAGGCGCGAAAGCGUGGGGAGCAAACAGGG